rnacentral:pre_miRNA from 1 species
AAUAAAUACAGCCAUAGAUAUCCGUGUUUAGCGUUUUGACCGUUCGUUUUAUUUGAAAAAUUUAUGAAAAUUUUUUAAAAAAUUAGUCACACAUAAAGUACUAAUGUUUUAUUAUGUAAUAAUAAUAAAAAUACUAAUCAUAUUUUUUUCAAAUAAAACGAGCAGUCAAACGUUAGACAUGAACAGUGCUAAAACUGCACUUACU